GACGAACGCUGGCGGCGUGCCUAAUACAUGCAAGUAGAACGCUGAAGGAGGAGCUUGCUUCUCCGGAUGAGUUGCGAACGGGUGAGUAACGCGUAGGUAACCUGCCUGGUAGCGGGGGAUAACUAUUGGAAACGAUAGCUAAUACCGCAUAAGAGUAGAUGUUGCAUGACAUUUGCUUAAAAGGUGCAAUUGCAUCACUACCAGAUGGACCUGCGUUGUAUUAGCUAGUUGGUGAGGUAACGGCUCACCAAGGCGACGAUACAUAGCCGACCUGAGAGGGUGAUCGGCCACACUGAGACUGAGACACGGCCCAGACUCAUGCGGGAGGCAGCAGUAGCGAAUCGUGGGCAAUGGCAGGAAGUCUGAGCGAGAAACGCCGAGUGAGUGAAGAGGGUUUUCGGAUCGUAGAGCUCUGUUGUAAGAGAAGAACGAGUGUGAGAGUGGAAAGUUCACACUGUGACGGUAUCUUACCAGAAAGGGACGGCUAACUACGUG
rnacentral:rRNA from 1 species